rnacentral:rRNA from 1 species
GGAUGAACGCUGGCGGCGCGCCUAAUACAUGCAAGUCGAGCGAACAGACGAGGAGCUUGCUCCUCUGACGUUAGCGGCGGACGGGUGAGUAACACGUGGAUAACCUACCUAUAAGACUGGGAUAACUUCGGGAAACCGGAGCUAAUACCGGAUAAUAUAUUGAACCGCAUGGUUCAAUAGUGAAAGACGGUUUUGCUGUCACUUAUAGAUGGAUCCGCGCCGCAUUAGCUAGUUGGUAAGGUAACGGCUUACCAAGGCAACGAUGCGUAGCCGACCUGAGAGGGUGAUCGGCCACACUGGAACUGAGACACGGUCCAGACUCCUACGGGAGGCAGCAGUAGGGAAUCUUCCGCAAUGGGCGAAAGCCUGACGGAGCAACGCCGCGUGAGUGAUGAAGGUCUUCGGAUCGUAAAACUCUGUUAUUAGGGAAGAACAAAUGUGUAAGUAACUAUGCACGUCUUGACGGUACCUAAUCAGAAAGCCACGGCUAACUACGUG